GCGAACGCUGGCGGCAGGCCUAACACAUGCAAGUCGAACGAACUCUUCGGAGUUAGUGGCGGACGGGUGAGUAACACGUGGGAACGUGCCUUUUGGUUCGGAAUAACUCAGGGAAACUUGUGCUAAUACCGAAUGUGCCCUUCGGGGGAAAGAUUUAUCGCCAUUAGAGCGGCCCGCGUCUGAUUAGCUAGUUGGUGAGGUAACGGCUCACCAAGGCGACGAUCAGUAGCUGGUCUGAGAGGAUGACCAGCCACACUGGGACUGAGACACGGCCCAGACUCCUACGGGAGGCAGCAGUGGGGAAUCUUGCGCAAUGGGCGAAAGCCUGACGCAGCCAUGCCGCGUGAAUGAUGAAGGUCUUAGGACUGUAAAAUUCUUUCACCGGGGACGAUAAUGACGGUACCCGGAGAAGAAGCCCCGGCUAACUUCGUG
rnacentral:rRNA from 1 species